ensembl:lncRNA LINC02436 long intergenic non-protein coding RNA 2436
AGGAAGGGUGGGGCCCUGGGGCCUUUUGAGGAGCUAAGUGGCCAAGGAGAGUGCUUUGUGAGUCUCUUGUUGGAAGGACUGUCUUUAAAUUAAAGCAAUUAGAGUUACUUUAUAAGAUUUACCCAAAUAUAAGAGCUGAAGAGAAUAAUUCAAAUUGAUCAGAAGAAAAUACUCAAUUACUGACAAAUGUCAAUUACAUCAAUAGGAGGAGAAAAUGUGUAAUUGUAAGCAGCUGAACUAAAAUAUCUCUGUGACAUUUUGCUGGUGACUCCAGCCCUGUGAGAUCUGAGUGGCUCAGGAAUCAAAUUCUCCCACAAACCUGAGGAAGCCUUUUAUUCUUAAUGCCAACAGGAUGCCCCAUGCCCAGAAUGUCAAAUCUGAACACCAAUGGAAUGCAUUUUAUAAACAAAUUGAAAAAGGACAAUCUUUAACAGAAUUGUUGUUCUCUAGGCAGAUUAGUUGUGCUUCAAAUACAAAAUGAAAUAUUAGAGAACAAAAUUAUUUUUAAACAGCUAAUACUAGUAGAAAAUAAAA